rnacentral:rRNA from 1 species
UACGUAGGGUGCGAGCGUUAAUCGGAAUUACUGGGCGUAAAGCGUGCGCAGGCGGUUUUGUAAGCCAGAUGUGAAAUCCCCGGGCUUAACCUGGGAAUGGCAUUUGGGACUGCAAGGCUUGAGUGUGGCAGAGGGGACUGGAAUUCCUGGUGUAGCAGUGAAAUGCGUAGAGAUCAGGAGGAAUACCGGUGGCGAAGGCGGCAUCCUGGACCGACAUUGACGCUGAACGGCGAAAGCUAGGGGAGCAAACGGG